rnacentral:rRNA from 1 species
AUUGAACGCUGGCGGCAUGCCUUACACAUGCAAGUCGAACGGCAGCACGGGGCAACCUGGUGGCGAGUGGCGAACGGGUGAGUAAUGCAUUGGAACGUACCUUUCAGUGGGGGAUAACGUAGCGAGAGUUACGCUAAUACCGCAUAUUCUGUGAGCAGGAAAGCAGGGGAUCGCAAGACCUUGCGCUGAUUGAGCGGCCGAUGUCAGAUUAGCUAGUUGGUGAGGUAAAGGCUCACCAAGGCGACGAUCUGUAGCGGGUCUGAGAGGAUGAUCCGCCACACUGGAACUGAGACACGGUCCAGACUCCUACGGGAGGCAGCAGUGGGGAAUUUUGGACAAUGGGGGCAACCCUGAUCCAGCCAUGCCGCGUGAGUGAAGAAGGCCUUCGGGUUGUAAAGCUCUUUCGGCCGGGAAGAAAUCGCACGGGCUAAUACCCUGUGUGGAUGACGGUACCGGAAUAAGAAGCACCGGCUAACUACGUGCCAGCCGCCGCAGUAA